AAGCAGUCCAUGGCUCCUAGGAACUCUGUGAAGCACCACGUGAAAAAUAUUUGGGGGGAUAAGCAAUAGAGACGGCACUUGCUCAGGUCCUACGGUGCAGCUCUGAAGAGCCAAGGUCAAGCUUGGAGCAGCAGGCUCCCUCCUGAACAACAGUUUUCUCCAGGAGACCUUUAUACACAGGGAAAUUGAGGCACUGCUUGGUGGAAAGACCCACACGUGGCUGCACAAGAAGCGAGCAGUAGAACUCAAGCCUCAGGGCAGUCGAGGUCCUUGCACCACAGCUGGAGUCAUUAGCAAAAGGGAGGAGGAAAGA
rnacentral:lncRNA from 1 species